rnacentral:rRNA from 1 species
GAACCUUACCAGCUCUUGACAUUCGGGGUAUGGGCAGUGGAGACAUUGUCCUUCAGUUAGGCUGGCCCCAGAACAGGUGCUGCAUGGCUGUCGUCAGCUCGUGUCGUGAGAUGUUGGGUUAAGUCCCGCAACGAGCGCAACCCUCGCCCUUAGUUGCCAGCAUUUAGUUGGGCACUCUAAGGGGACUGCCGGUGAUAAGCCGAGAGGAAGGUGGGGAUGACGUCAAGUCCUCAUGGCCCUUACGGGCUGGGCUACACACGUGCUACAAUGGUGGUGACAGUGGGCAGCGAGACAGCGAUGUCGAGCUAAUCUCC